rnacentral:rRNA from 1 species
UACGUAGGUGGCAAGCGUUGUCCGGAUUUACUGGGCGUAAAGGGCGUGCAGGCGGUUUGUUAAGUGCAGGGUGAAAGCUCCCGGCUCAACUGGGAGAGGUCCUUGCAUACUGGCAAACUCGAGGGAGGCAGAGGAAAGUGGAAUUCCCGGUGUAGUGGUGAUAUGCGUAGAUAUCGGGAGGAACACCUGUGGCGAAGGCGGUUCUCUGGGCCUGUACUGACGCUGAGGAG